rnacentral:rRNA from 1 species
GAUGAACGCUGGCGGCGUGCCUAAUACAUGCAAGUCGAGCGAAUGGAUUAAGAGCUUGCUCUUAUGAAGUUAGCGGCGGACGGGUGAGUAACACGUGGGUAACCUGCCCAUAAGACUGGGAUAACUCCGGGAAACCGGGGCUAAUACCGGAUAACAUUUUGAACCGCAUGGUUCGAAAUUGAAAGGCGGCUUCGGCUGUCACUUAUGGAUGGACCCGCGUCGCAUUAGCUAGUUGGUGAGGUAACGGCUCACCAAGGCAACGAUGCGUAGCCGACCUGAGAGGGUGAUCGGCCACACUGGGAGUGGAACACGGCCCAGACUCCUACGGGAGGCAGCAGUAGGGAAUCUUCCGCAAUGGACGAAAGCCUGACGGAGCAACGCCGCGUGAGUGAUGAAGGCUUUCGGGUCGUAAAACUCUGUUGUUAGGGAAGAACAAGUGCUAGUUGAAUAAGCUGGCACCUUGACGGUACCUAACCAGAAAGCCACGGCUAACUACGUGCCAGCAGCCGCCGUAA